rnacentral:rRNA from 1 species
GACGAACGCUGGCGGCGCGCCUAAUACAUGCAAGUCGAACGGGUCUCCUUCGGGAGGUCAGUGGCGGACGGGUGAGUAACACGUGGGUGACCUGCCCCGAACGUAGGGGAAGUAACGCUGCGAAAGCAGCGCUAAUACCGCAUAUGCUUAACGGUCCAAUCUGUUAAGCAAAGCAGCAAUGCGCUUUGGGAGGGGCCUGCGGCAGAUUAGCUAGUCGGUGGGGUAAUGGCCUACCGAGGCGACGAUCUGUAGCUGGUCUGAGAGGAUGACCAGCCACACUGGGACUGAGACACGGCCCAGACUCCUACGGGAGGCAGCAGUAAGGAAUAUUCCACAAUGGGGGAAACCCUGAUGGAG